CCGGCAGGCGGGAGGUCUGGGGGGAGAUUGUGCUGUCGACAGGGUGGAUGGUCUGUAACAGAAAAGUUUAAAGAGGUGGGAUGAACAAAGAUUAUGGAAACAGUUCCAUAUUUCAGAUCUUCAUCACAUACUGGAACAGCAGAAAAAAUCAGACGGGCAAGAAUCCCUGGAUUAAAGAUCUGCUGCUGGUUCACCCCUCUUUCCUGUCCUCUCCACCCCCAACUGCUCCAGGAAGAUGGUUUUCCCACCUGCUGGUGGUUCUGAUGGAGGUUUCCCUCCUGGUUCUGGU